rnacentral:rRNA from 1 species
GAUGAACGCUGGCGGCGUGCCUAACACAUGCAAGUCGAGCGGGAUUUUCCGGAUUGAAGCUUCGGUAGAUUGAAGGAAAUGAGAGCGGCGGACGGGUGAGUAACGCGUAGGCAACCUGCCCUUUGCAGAGGGAUAGCCAUUGGAAACGAUGAUUAAAACCUCAUAAUGCCACGAAGUGACAUCGCUUUGUGGCCAAAGAUUUAUCGGCAAAGGAUGGGCCUGCGUCUGAUUAGCUGGUUGGUGAGGUAACGGCUCACCAAGGCGACGAUCAGUAGCCGACCUGAGAGGGUGAUCGGCCACAUUGGAACUGAGACACGGUCCAAACUCCUACGGGAGGCAGCAGUGGGGAAUAUUGCACAAUGGGCGAAAGCCUGAUGCAGCAACGCCGCGUGAGCGAAGAA